rnacentral:rRNA from 1 species
UACGGAGGAUCCGAGCGUUAUCCGGAUUUAUUGUGUUUAAAGGGUGCGUAGGCGGAAAUGUAAGUCAGUGGUGAAAUCCUGCAGCUUAACUGUAGAAUAGCCGUUGAAACUGUGUUUCUUGAGUACAUUUGAGGUAGGCGGAAUGUGGUGUGUAGCGGUGAAAUGCAUAGAUAUACCACAGAACACCGAUUGCGAAGGCAGCUUACUAAACUGUCACUGACGCUGAUGCACGAAAGCGUGGGUAUCAAACAGGAUUA